rnacentral:tRNA from 2 species
ACCGCCUUAGAACAAUUGGUAGUGUAACUUGAUUUGUAAUCAGUAGGUUAUAUGUUCGAGUCAGAUAGGUGGCA